GGCCCUGUAGUGUAGUGGUUAUCACUGCGGAUUCUGAUUCUUGUAGUAAUUUCCGCCGACCCAGGUUCGAGUCCUGGCAGGGCCU